rnacentral:rRNA from 1 species
AUUGAACGCUAGCGGCAUGCCUUACACAUGCAAGUCGAGCGGAGCGGCGGACGGGUGAGUAAUGCCUAGGAAUGUGCCUGGUAGUGGGGGAUAACGUCCGGAAACUGGCGCUACUACCGCAUACUAUCAGAUGAGCCUAGGUCGGAUUAGCUAGUUGGUGGGGUAAAGGCCGACCAAGGCGACGAUCCGUAACUGGUUUGAGAGGAUGAUCAGUCAAACGUGAACUGAGACACGGGCCAGACUCCUACGGGAGGCAGCAGGGGGGAAUUUUGGAAAAUGGGGGAAACCCUGAUCCAGCCAUUCCGCGUGUGGGAAGAAGGUCUUCGGGUUGGAAAGCACUUUUAGUUGGGAGGCGGUACCAACAGAAUAAGCACCGGCUAACUUCGUGCCAGCAGCCGCGGUAAUUC